rnacentral:lncRNA from 1 species
CAAGUCGUAAUGCGCAAAGGUCAGUGUAGUCGAUCCCUGUAACAUGGGAUACUUUGACUAAGAAACUGUACUAAUUGGCCCAACCAAAAAUUCUAGAAAAAAAUAUGUAGAUGGGCAUAUGAGUCUAGUUUCAGGGAAAAAUCACGAAACUGAUUUUCAAGUUGUGAAACUCAAGAUAUGAUUUUUAAGGUGACAGUGACGCAGUUAGCCAACUGCCUGGAAAAUUUUUAAAAUGGACUUCAAUAGUAAGCGAAUUUAGUCUGUGAACCCCUCGUGUCCGACUCCGGCAACGGUCUCGGGUACGGGGUGUUACAGUAUAAGAUAAAAUAAUCCCAGAAAAAUAAUUAAAAUGGUCUUAUUUCAACCCAAAACCAAAUAAUAAUAUUAAUAAGAUAAAACUUAUAAAGAAAUAAAUCGGCUACUUGUUGCAAUUAAAAGAAACAGAACAUGUAGUGUGGCCAUCUCCGAGUCCCUCACAGCUCCAAACCAUCUAAGCUUAGGGCUUACCUGCAAAGUUAGAAACGGAGUGAGUUUACGAAAACUCAGUGUGUAAUCCCAAACAGCAAACAAACAGUAAAUAACACGGUAUCAGUACAAUCUGGGCCAAAGCCCUAUUUAGUCUUGACAUAUACUGGGCCGAAGCCUUUCCAUAAAUCAUAUCACUGGGCCGAAGCCUUUUCAUAAAUCAUAUCACUGGGCCGAAGCCUUUACUGUAAAAGGUAUGGCCCUUAGGCCCAUUUCAAUAUCACAUGUAAUGUCGAUGAAAGAGUGAAUGCAACCCCAUUUGGGGAGACUACUCGACCCACCAUUCGCUACUCUCCACCCGUACCAACCAACACACCAUGUGGGGAAUGACUCAGCCCACCCAACCAACACACCACUGGCAGCAUAGCUGCUUUAUCAUAUAACUGGAGGCCUAGCCUCUUUUAAUAACUGGGGCAAAAGCCCUUUCGGUAAACUGGGGCGUAAGCCCUUUUCAAUAAACUAAGGCAUAAGCCCUUUUCGGUAAACUGGGGCAUAAGCCUUUUCCAAUAAACUGGGGCAUAAUCCCUUUUUUGUAAACUGAGGCAUAAAACCUUUCCAAUAAACUGGGGCAUAAGCCCUUUUCAAUAAACUGGGGCAUAAACUCUUUUCAAUAAACUAGGGCAUAAGCCCUUUUCAAUAAACUGGGGCAUAAGCCCUUUUGCACUUCCUCCAUCCAUAUAAAACCCAACCCAUGCAACAUGUCAUGUAUGCAGAAUGUCAUGCCUAUAUUUGAAUCAAACAAUCACAGUCAAGUCAUUCAUAUCACCAACAUAUAUUCACAAUCAAAUCCGUCAACCACACAGUCCAAGUCAGUCACUUGCCCACAAGGGCAAAACAGUUAUUUUUCCCAUUAUAAGGGUAAUUUCGUAAUUUUACCAAAUAUCGGGGUUUUCCAUGUUCAUUAACAAUUAUCAAUAUUUUUUAGUGUUUAAACAAUGAUCUUUAACCCACUUUAUCAAAUUCGGCCUUUUGGGCCCAAAACCCCUAAUGGGCCCUACGAAUGCUGAUUUAGCCCAGUAAGCCUACUUAAUCCAAAUUUUACAACAGUACUAACCUUGUUAACAUGCAACUUUUUUAGAUUCCAUUUUCUAUCAGUUUUACCCAAAUGGGCCCAAAAGCCCAUUUGGCCCAAUUCCAGCCCAUUGAGGCCCAACUUACCAUCGUGCACAAAAUUGAGUUCUUACCCAUACCAUCGAUCCAAACACUGAUCUUAUCGUAUUUAUCGCAUCUAUACCCACACGCAACAUUACAAGUUCUCAAAAUGUCGGUAUUUUAGCAUUUCGGCUUCUCAGCAGAUAUUAAUCUAAGCUACUACGAGGGUUAGUACACACCUGUUAUGGGUUGAAGUUGAAACGUUUCCAUAAUCAAUCACUUACGAUAACCACCACUUUUCACUCAAACUUAACUAAUCCAAUAUCAAUAUAUGUAAAUCCUAAGCACAUCAGUCAUACGGAACAUAAGGGCAUAUUCGUCAUUUUACCAUACAAGGGUAUUAUGGUCACUUUACCCUAUAGGGGCUUUACGAUCUUUUUACCUAUUAGGGGUAUUUCAGUUAUUUCAUCCUACAAGGGUGUUUUGGUAAAUCUACAAACCAAGGGUAUUUUAGUAAUUUUGUAAACUAAUGGUAUUUCUAUAAUUUUUAGAAAGUCAAGGGUAUUUUUGUAAUUUUGUAAAUCCAGGGUAUUUUGGUAAUUUUACAAAUUGAGGGUAUUUCGGUAAUUUCACAAACUAGUGGUAUUUCGGUAAUUUUACAAACUAGGGGUAUUUUGGUAAUUUUACAAACUAGGGGUAUUUUGGUAAUUUUACAAACUAGGGGUAUUUUGGUAAUUCUAUCCUACAGGGGUAUUUCAGUAAUUUCACAAUCGAAGGUAAAACGGUAAUUUUGUAAACUAAAGGUAAAAUGGUAAUUUUGUAAAUCGAGGGUAAAACGGUAAUUCUAUAAAUCGAGGGUAAAAUGGUAAUUCUAUAAAUCAAGGGUAAAACGAUAAUUCUAUAAAUCGAGGGUAAAAUGGUAAUUCUGUAAAUCGAGGGUAAAAUGGUAAUUUUACAAAUUGAGGGCUUUUCAGUAAUUUGGUAACCUAAAGUAUUCUAAACAGAGAUAACAAUACGAAUGGGCCUAAAGCCUAUUCUCGGCCCAAAUGGGCCCAUACGCUCGUGUGGCCCUUUUAGCCCAAAUCUAGCCACAAAUAUGAGAUUCACCUAGCCUAGUCCAAUAUUUACUACACAAUCAAACAACUUAUCUAAUUGGCGCCCAUUAGGCCCGCAUGACCCCUUUCGGCCCAUCGCAGCCAGAAGUAGCUAUCCUACAACUAGAGUAGUGAGAAAUACACACCUGAUUGGUGACUGGAGUUAAUCCACGCUUCGAGCACCCUUAGCCAAUGCCCAACCCAAAGGAGCACGCCAUACAGCGAAAGGGAUCAGCCAAGAAAGGUACCUUUACUCUCCUCAUGGUUCCCUCUAUUUAAAGCCAGCUUCGCAUCCACUCUUAUGUUAGCUUCCCGAUGUGGGAUCCCUCCAACAUCAGAGUUUAAAUUCAACACCAACUCUUGCCGCCCCCUGUUAGCAAAAUAAAUGCUCCUUGCUU